GACGAACGCUGGCGGCGUGCCUAAUUCAUGCAAGUAGAACGCACAGUUUAUACCGUAGCUUGCUACACCAUAGACUGUGAGUUGCGAACGGGUGAGUAACGCGUAGGUAACCUGCCUGGUAGCGGGGGAUAACUAUUGGAAACGAUAGCUAAUACCGCAUAAUAUUAAUUAUUGCAUGAUAAUUAAUUGAAAGGUGCAAUUGCACCACUACCAGAUGGACCUGCGUUGUAUUAGCUAGUAGGUGAGGUAACGGCUCACCUAGGCGACGAUACAUAGCCGACCUGAGAGGGUGAUCGGCCACACUGGGACUGAGACACGGCCCAGACUCCUACGGGAGGCAGCAGUAGGGAAUCUUCGGCAAUGGACGAAAGUCUGACCGAGCAACGCCGCGUGUAGUGAAGAAGGUUUUCGGAUCGUAAAGCUCUGUUGUAAGAGAAGAACGGGUGUGAGAGUGGAUUCUCCACACUA
rnacentral:rRNA from 1 species